GCAUUAAUGGGGUAGUGGUAACCUGGGUCGUUGCCAUUGCAAUGCUCGAUUACGUCGCUCGACCCGCCGGGAGUUCGAUUCUCCCUUAAUGCA
rnacentral:tRNA from 1 species